UGAAAAUUUCAUAUUUUUAAUCUUUUUCUGUAAUGGCAUUUUACAUUAAUGACUCAGCAUCAUAACUAUCAAUAAAUAUAUAUAUAUAUUUAUUAGUAUAUGAACGCAAUAUUUUGUUAAAAUGUUUAAUGGAUGUUACAUUGAUAGAAAAGUUAUCAUAGAUGCGGUAGUUUUGGAUUGGUGGAGUCUUGAUUGCCUAAAUUCCCCUAUGAGUUCAACUUUAUGAUUAAUCGACCUCAUUCACAAAUGGCAUGAUCACGUGGUUUCUUUCUACUCUAAGGAUAGUAAUGAUACUAUUGUAAGAGAAACGGAAUUAAUUGGCAUGCAAAUCGUGUUUUACUAGAUCUAUCCACCCUAAUGGAUCAUUAUGAUAAAUGAUUAUAAAUAAAAGCCGAAUCCUGAAAAAUUCUAAGUUUGCGUGAUGAUGAUACAAUUCGAUUAUCACUUUUAAUUAAGGUGUGUUCUCCAUGUUGUAAUUUGAAAGAGAAUUUAUUAAUCAAGACAAUUUUCACAUAAAACAUAUCAAAUCAAAGAGAUUUAUAAAUAACCCGAUAUGUAAAUUAUAAAAGUUAAAAUUCGAACAAAUUUCCAAGUAAAUAAAUGCCAAUGCUCCAUUUACUUAUAUGAUUAUACAAUGCUUUUUUUUCCAGACCUAUACUUGUUUACAUGUCUGCAACUCAUGUCGGGCCUGUUGUUCUCCUGGUGUAAGUUUCUAUUAAAUUCUAUCAUGCUUUCUUCUCUUUAUAAUAUAAUUUACUAUUAUAAAUAUCAUAAUAGCGACGUUCGAUCGAUUUUCAGUAUUAUGUUUUUCAGUUGUUAUGGGAUACACAAUUUCGGAAGAAUAAUAAAUUUUAAAUGCAUAUAAAAUAUCUACGAUUAUUACAAUAUUUUAAUGAUCUAAUUGAAGAUAAUGAGCUAAACUUACGAAUCGAAACUGAUAUUUAUCUUCAAUUACUUCUUACUUUUUUCGUAAUUAUUUUAUAAAUUCUAAAUGAAAAUUCCAAAAAUACAUUUUCUCUUCACACGUUAACUUGUUUCAAGAUGGCUCUUAAGUAAAAAAUGAAGUAGAUUUUGUUUCAGGAUGGCAGAAAAUAGGAUAUUCUAUCAUCGCGAUGAACGUAUAUCAUGAUGUUCUCUAUAAUGCACAAGAUUUAGUUAAAAUUCAUUUAUAUAUUCAUUCGGUUCAAAAUUUUUUUGUUUUAAUGAGAGAUCGAUGAAAUGUUUAAUAUAUUUUAACACUGUAGAAAAUUAUGUUCAAAUUCACUCGAAAUAAAUAUAUUAAAAUAUAUCGCAUAUUAUUAAAUCAAGAAAAAAUUCUUCAGUGGUGAACAGAAAAUUUUCAGAAAAAUGAAAAUAUAAU
rnacentral:lncRNA from 1 species